rnacentral:tRNA from 1 species
GCCUUCGUGGUGUAACGGUAGCACACUCGGCGCGUAUUCGAGAGGUCCAGGUUCGAGUCCCGGUGACGGCG